UGGAUCCAGACUUUGAUUAUGGCUCAGGAUGAACGCUAGCUACAGGCUUAACACAUGCAAGUCGAGGGGCAGCGGGAUUGAAGCUUGCUUCAAUUGCCGGCGACCGGCGCACGGGUGAGUAACGCGUAUCCAACCUUCCGUACACUCAGGGAUAGCCUUUCGAAAGAAAGAUUAAUACCUGAUAGUAUCUUAAGCACACAUGUAAUUAAGAUUAAAGAUUUAUCGGUGUACGAUGGGGAUGCGUUCCAUUAGGUAGUAGGCGGGGUAACGGCCCACCUAGCCAACGAUGGAUAGGGGUUCUGAGAGGAAGGUCCCCCACAUUGGAACUGAGACACGGUCCAAACUCCUACGGGAGGCAGCAGUGAGGAAUAUUGGUCAAUGGACGAGAGUCUGAACCAGCCAAGUAGCGUGAAGGAUGAAGGUCCUACGGAUUGUAAACUUCUUUUAUAAGGGAAUAAACCCUCCCACGUGUGGGAGCUUGUAUGUACCUUAUGAAUAAGCAUCGGCUAACUCCGUGCCAGCAGCCGCGGUAAUACGGAGGAUGCGAGCGUUAUCCGGAUUUAUUGGGUUUAAAGGGAGCGCAGACGGGUCGUUAAGUCAGCUGUGAAAGUUUGGGGCUCAACCUUAAAAUUGCAGUUGAUACUGGCGUCCUUGAGUGCGGUUGAGGUGUGCGGAAUUCGUGGUGUAGCGGUGAAAUGCUUAGAUAUCACGAAGAACUCCGAUUGCGAAGGCAGCACACUAAUCCGUAACUGACGUUCAUGCUCGAAAGUGUGGGUAUCAAACAGGAUUAGAUACCCUGGUAGUCCACACGGUAAACGAUGGAUACUCGCUGUUGGCGAUAUACUGUCAGCGGCUUAGCGAAAGCGUUAAGUAUCCCACCUGGGGAGUACGCCGGCAACGGUGCAACUCAAAUGAAU
rnacentral:rRNA from 1 species